GAUGAACGCUAGCGGGAGGCCUAACACAUGCAAGCCGAGCGGUAGAGUUUCUUCGGAAACUUGAGAGCGGCGCACGGGUGAGUAAUGCCUAGGAAUCUGCCUGGUAGUGGGGGAUAACGUCCGGAAACGGGCGCUAAUACCGCAUACGUCCUGAGGGAGAAAGUGGGGGAUCUUCGGACCUCACGCUAUCAGAUGAGCCUAGGUCGGAUUAGCUAGUUGGUGGGGUAAAGGCCUACCAAGGCGACGAUCCGUAACUGGUCUGAGAGGAUGAUCAGUCACACUGGAACUGAGACACGGUCCAGACUCCUACGGGAGGCAGCAGUGGGGAAUAUUGGACAAAGGGCGAAAGCCUGAUCCAGCCAUGCCGCGUGUGUGAAGAAGGUCUUCGGAUUGUAAAGCACUUUAAGUUGGGAGGAAGGGCAGUAAGUUAAUACCUUGCUGUUUUGACGUUACCAACAGAAUAAGCACCGGCUAACUUCGUG
rnacentral:rRNA from 1 species